rnacentral:lncRNA from 1 species
UCUGCCCCUUCUCCUGUUCCAGCACAACCUUUGCUGUGAUAACUGCCACUCUCACGUGGCUCUGGCCUUGAACUUGAUGAGAUACGACAACAGCACCUCCUGGAACAUGGUCAAGCUCUGCUUCUUCUCACUCCUGUAUGGGAAGUACGUGAGCAUAGGGGGAUUCGUGAAGACCUGGCUUCCCUUUGUCCUCUUCCUGGGGGUGAUCCUGACGGUCGUUCUGACACUUCACCUGCGGUGAUGACAGCUGUGAACUCCCCGUUCUGUGGGCACACGAAGGAAGAAACUGUGACUGCUUGGCCCGGCGAGGUGGAGGCGUGGGACUCUGGGAGGCGUUUUCUGGGGAAGAUCUGGGUUUUGAACGGAGGCUCUUACCCUGCAAACGAGCCCUGCAGGACCUCAGGCUGCGGAGCUGCUUCCCCUGCACCUCGACCGACAGCAGGGCAGGAUGGCUCCGCACGUCCGGAGGGGAGCACGGGCGGCUCGACAGCAAGGCCUGAAGCAGAGGUAGCAGCGGAGCCAGCCCCAGCAGCCUUACUGGCCUCCCAGAGCUCUCUGUGCCUGCAGGGUGGUUCCUGCAGCGAGGCUGGCUGUGGGCUGGGCAGAUUUACUGCUUCACCACGCCGCUGGGGCUGCGGGAGCGCAGAGAGACGGGCGAUGCGUGGGGAGCGGGCUGUUUCCUCUGGCGGGGAGGUGGGUGGGUGAGGAACGUGCUUUCCUUGCAGCAUCCUUCAUCUCACUGCCAGCUCCUUCGCAGCGCCUUGCCCGUAGCCUCAUAAAGGUUCCCCCUGUCCCUUUCCUCCCCGAUGCUGCUUUUAUGGUCCCCUCCUUUCUCCUUUGCACGUGCUUGUGCUGCAGAGCUCCGUGGCUCCGCCGUGCUCUUCGGCGAGGGCCAGCCCUCCGUACCCUCUUCCUUUGUUCUCUUGAUCUCUGUGGGGCGCUGGAUUACUUUGUAAAUAUUUAAACUCUGCUUCUGUGGUUUCAUAAUCCUGACGGUAGGGGAAAUAAACUUAUUUCUGUGGAUGUCUCCA